GACGAACCGUGCAAACGUUGUUCGGAAUCACUGGGCUUAAAGGGCGCGUAGGCGGCUAGCCAAGUCCGUGGUGAAAUCCUGCAGCUUAACUGUAGAAGUGCCGUGGAUACUGGCUGGCUCGAGGGAGGUAGGGGUAUGUGGAACUUCUGGUGGAGCGGUGAAAUGCGUUGAUAUCAGAAGGAACGCCGGUGGCGAAAGCGACGUACUGGACCUCUUCUGACGCUGAGGCGCGAAAGCUAGGGGAGCAAACGGG
rnacentral:rRNA from 1 species